rnacentral:rRNA from 1 species
UACGUAGGGUGCGAGCGUUAAUCGGAAUUACUGGGCGUAAAGCGUGCGCAGGCGGUUUUGUAAGCCAGGUGUGAAAUCCCCGGGCUCAACCUGGGAAUGGCAUUUGGGACUGCAAGGCUGGAGUGCGGCAGAGGAGACUGGAAUUCCUGGUGUAGCAGUGAAAUGCGUAGAUAUCAGGAGGAAUACCGAUGGCGAAGGCAGGUCUCUGGGCUGAAACUGACGCUCAUGCACGAAAGCGUGGGGAGCAAACAGG